UACAGAGGUCUCAAGCGUUGUUCGGAUUCAUUGGGCGUAAAGGGUGCGUAGGCGGUGUGGAUAGUCGGGUGUGAAAUACCUCAGCUUAACUGAGGAACUGCACUCGAUACUUCCAUGCUAGAGUCCGGAAGAGGCGAGUGGAACUCCUGGUGUAGCGGUGGAAUGCGCAGAUAUCAGGAAGAACACCAACGGCGAAGGCAGCUCGCUGGGACGGUACUGACGCUGAGACGCGAAAGCGUGGGGAGCGAACAGG
rnacentral:rRNA from 1 species